rnacentral:rRNA from 1 species
GACAGAGGGUGCAAACGUUGUUCGGAAUUACUGGGCGUAAAGGGCGCGUAGGCGGCCGUUUGCGUCGGAUGUGAAAGCCCGGGGCUCAACCUCGGAACGGCAUUCGAUACGGGACGGCUGGAGACCGGGAGAGGAGAGUGGAAUAGCCAGUGUAGAGGUGAAAUUCGUAGAUAUUGGCUGGAACACCAGUGGCGAAGGCGGCGAUCUGGGAAGAUACUGACGCUGAGGUGCGAAAGCGUGGGGAGCAAACAGG